UUGGGCGACCGAUUUGCUGAAC
rnacentral:miRNA from 1 species